GACGAACGCUGGCGGCGUGCUUAACACAUGCAAGUCGAACGAAGUGGCGAACGGGUGAGUAACGCGUAAUCAACCUGCCCUUCAGAGGGGGACAACAGUUGGAAACGACUGCUAAUACCGCAUACUGAAGGAGGGGAUUGCGUCUGAUUAGCUAGUUGGAGGGGUAACGGCCUACCAAGGCGACGAUCCGUAACUGGUCUGAGAGGAUGAUCAGUCACACUGGAACUGAGACACGGUCCAGACUCCUACGGGAGGCAGCAGUGGGGAAUAUUGGACAAUGGGCGAAAGCCUGAUCCAGCCAUGCCGCGUGUGUGAAGAAGGUCUUCGGGUUGUAAAGCUCUGUUAAUCGGGACGCGGUACCGGAAUAGAAAGCCACGGCUAACUACGUGCCAGCCGCCGCGGUAAUAC
rnacentral:rRNA from 1 species